AACACUGAGAGGAUCUUUCCUUAGAACGAGAGGACGGGGAAGGAUGCACCUUUGGUGUACCAGUUAUCGUGCGCACAAUUAACGAUGAGUAGCCAAGUGCGGAGCAGAUAAAAAGAAAUCAUUGUUAAAUGGAAUAAAGUAGGUAACAAUAUUAUUGUU
rnacentral:ncRNA from 1 species